rnacentral:rRNA from 1 species
GUUAGGAAAUGUAGGCUCGCUAAUAUCGUGUCUAUUUGGCAAAGGCUCCAAAGGAAGCCACGGCUAACUCUGUGCCAGCAGUCGCGGUAAUACAGAGGUGGCAAGCGUUGUUCGGAAUUAUUGGGCGUAAAGAGCACGUAGGUGGACUUGUAAGUCAGAUGUGAAAGCCUUCUGUUCAACGGGAGAAUUGCAUCUGAAACUACAGACCUUGAGUAUAGGAGGGGAGAGUGGAACUUCUGGUAAU